rnacentral:rRNA from 1 species
ACCAGCGUUUGACAUGGCUAGUAUAGUUUCCAGAGAUGGAUUCUUUCAGCUCGGCUGGCUAGCACACAGGUGCUGCAUGGCUGUCGUCAGCUCGUGUCGUGAGAUGUUGGGUUAAGUCCCGCAACGAGCGCAACCCUCAUCCUUAGUUGCCAUCAUUAAGUUGGGCACUCCAAGGAAACUGCCGGUGAUAAGCCGGAGAAAGGUGGUGAUGACGUCAAGUCCUCAUGGCCCUUACGCGCUGGGCUACACACGUGCUACAAUGGCGGUGACAGUGGGCUGCAAACUCGCAAGGGUGAGCAAAUCUCCAAAAGCCGUCUCAGUUCGGAUUGUUCUCUGCAACUCGAGAGCAUGAAGACGGAAUCGCUAGUAAUCGCGGAUCAGCAUGCCGCGAUGAAUACGUUCCCAGGCCUUGUACACACCGCCCGUCACACCAUGGGAGUUGGUUUCACCCGAAGACAGUGCUCUAACCCGCAAGGAAGGAAGUUGACCACGGUGUGAUCAGCGACUGGGGUAGAGUCGU